AUUGAACGCUGGCGGCAGGCCUAACACAUGCAAGUCGAGCGGAUGAAGGGAGCUUGCUCCUGGAUUCAGCGGCGGACGGGUGAGUAAUGCCUAGGAAUCUGCCUGGUAGUGGGGGAUAACGUCCGGAAACGGGCGCUAAUACCGCAUACGUCCUGAGGGAGAAAGUGGGGGAUCUUCGGACCUCACGCUAUCAGAUGAGCCUAGGUCGGAUUAGCUAGUUGGUGGGGUAAAGGCCUACCAAGGCGACGAUCCGUAACUGGUCUGAGAGGAUGAUCAGUCACACUGGAACGGAGACACGGUCCAGACUCCUACGGGAGGCAGCAGUGGGGAAUAUUGGACAAUGGGCGAAAGCCUGAUCCAGCCAUGCCGCGUGGGUGAAGAAGGUCUUCGGAUUGUAAAGCACUUUAAGUUGGGAGGAAGGGCAGUAAGUUAAUACCUUGCUGUUUUGACGUUACCAACAGAAUAAGCACCGGCUAACUUCGUG
rnacentral:rRNA from 1 species